rnacentral:rRNA from 1 species
CGGUAAUUCCUUCUCCAAUAGCGUAUACUAAAGUUGUUGCAGUUAAAAAGCUCGUAGUUGGAUUUCUGCUUGAGAGGGACGGCAGGCGUCAUUGACGUUUAGUCUGACUUCUCGUGCAUCCUGUCACGAACCACGUUGCUCUUAAUUGAGUGGCGUCGGGGAUUGACUCGUUUACUUUGAGAAAAAUAGAGUGUUCAAAGCAGGCUUACGCAUCUGAAUAAGUUAGCAUGGAAUAAUGAUAAAGGACUUCGGUUCUAUUUGUUGGUGUUCGGAACUGAAGUAAUGAUUGAUAGGGACAGUUGGGGGCAUCAGUAUUCCGAAGCGAGAGGUGAAAUUCUAGGACCUUCGGAAGACUAACCGCUGCGAAAGCGUUUGCCAAGGAUGUUCCCUUUGAUCAAGAACGAAAGUUGGGGGAUCGAAGACGAUCAGAUACCGUCGUAGUCUCAACUAUAAACUAUACCAGCUAGGGAUCGGCCGGCGUUUAUUUAUUAGGGCCCGGUCGGCACCUUAUGAGAAAUCAAAGCAUUUGGGUUCCGGGGGGAGUAUGGUCGCAAGGCUGAAACUUAAAGGAAUUGACGGAAGGGCACCACCAGGUGUGGAGCCUGUGGCUUAAUUUGACUCAACACGGGAAAACUUACCAGGUCCAGACAUAGUAAGGAUUGACAGAUUGAGAGCUCUUUUCUUGAUUCUAUGGGUGGUGGUGCAUGGCCGUUCUUAGUUGGUGGAGUGAUUUGUCUGGUUAAUUUCGUUAACGAACGAGACCCCAGCCUGCUAAAUAGCGCGCGUGUGCUUUUGCACGCGGUGAGCUUCUUAGAGGGACCAUGGCUCGCUACACAGACCAGGGAAGUUUGGGGCAAUAACAGGUCUGUGAUGCCCUUAGAUGUUCUGGGCCGCACACGGGCUACACUGAUGCGUGCAACGAGCAUAUCAGCUGGCUAGAAAUAGUCUUUGGCUAACCUUUUGAACUCGCAUCGUGCUAGGGAUUGACUAUUGCAAUUGUUAGUCAUGCAACGAGGAAUACCUUGUAAACGCGAGUCAUCAACUCGCAUUGAAUACGUCCCUGCCCUUUGUACACACCGCCCGUCGCUCCUACCGAUGAAUGUUCCGAUGAAAUUUUCGGAGGGGUCCGAUGACCCGGGUUUUGCCUGGCGAUCUGGUAUCGCGAAGUUGCUUAAAUCUGAACAUUUCGAGGUAGGAGAAGUCGUAACAAGGUAACC